GUGUGAAACCUCUGGGAGAAAUAAGUGACAGCUUGGAAGUAGUGCAAAUAGGUUUGAAAUGAUGCUAGAUAGGAGAAGUGUUUAGCAGCUCUAGCGAAAUCCACAGCAGUGCCUCAGUCCAAGGUGCUGCCAAGGCGUCAUUUGUGACUUGAAGCUUCUUGAAAUAGAGGGAAGACCUCUUGUUGCUUAAGGAACUGCCCAGUCAGGUCUAAACCUGAGUUCCUGGGCUGGUGUUUCUCAGUGUGGUGAGUGAGCAUGGAUUGUUUUUAUGGACAGCUACAGCAAUCUGUGCCUUUUUCAGAAGCUGGAUUAUUGCAGCCACACCCAAGGAUGACAGGGCUGUUAAAAUUAAGAGAGUUAGGUUGUGGAGCAGCCUGCUUCUGGGAAUCAGAGUGCAUGUGUGCUGUGAUCAUUAGGGUGUAAUGUAAGACCUUUUCUUAAUUCCUUUGCCUCAAGUGAGAUGUUGAAGGGUGAGAUCUAAUGGAGACAGAAACAUAGAACCUAGACGGGGAGAUGAUGGUGUGUGGGGAGAAAGCUCUCUGAAGCUAUCUGUGAUAAUUUGUCCUGGCUGACAACUAUGGUUUUCAAACUCAUAUCUUUAUUUUCAUUUUUAAUUUGUAUUUGGUGGAAUUGGCCCUGUCACCUGCAAUGUGUCAGCACUUCUGUUAAUGUAGAAAUUCUGAGCAGACUUAGUGCUGAAACAAGGUGCUCUGGCAAUGACAUGGGCUAUCCUGGAAUAAAAUUUGGCCCUUAUGCUUGUUAGGCUUGUUGUGUAUGAUUAAUAAAAGUUAUCAGGCCAAAGAGAAUAAUGUGGCUAUGGGGGUGGUUGCAAGAAAGGCUGGAACAUCAAUAAAGCUUUUAUAGGUACUUUCACUGUUGGAUAUGACUGGUGAAGGGCAGGGUUUUGUCAUAUGUGGAGCUCCUGGCGUGGGCUUUGGUGGCUUCCUCUCUGCCUGCUGUGACCAGAGCCAUGUGUGCCAUGCUUCUUGGGCUGUUGAGCUGAUCUGUUGAGUAUUUGAGAAUGAGAAACAAAUCACUUCAGUAUUUUCUGUCAUGCUGCUUUUAUAUGGCAUAGGCAGCUUGGUGUAACCCAAAGAAAAACUCAAAAUGUGUUUGGUGUCUUAUAACAAUUUGGUCUCAAAAAUAAGCACCUCAAAUUUUUUAAAUAUUUAUAAUGAUUUUUUUCCCCUGAUUAAUCAUGAGUACAUUCUUGGUGACCCUAUACUCUUUUUAUUUGCACUGAAAGAAAAUUUAAUCAAGGCAGGUAUUUUAGACUGCCAAAAUAUAUUGGAAAAUGCUGACUGUUUGUUGAAUAAUCAUUGUGAGAGAGCGCUACUAAAAAGUGAUGGGAAUUGGAGUGAACUAUUUGCACAUUGUCACAAGAAAAAAAAAAAUUAAAAAGCCUGGGAGCAUGACACUGCUGUUUCAGAUUGACUAUUUAGACAAAUGCAGAGUUGACCGAAUGUCACUUGAGCUUUUUAGCACCAGAUGUGAUUAUAGAUGAAAAUGCUCCUGUUUAUUGUGUGGAUUUUCACUCACAUUGUUCAUAGGACACUCUUUGUAAUAAUGAUGAUGCCUGCUUUCUGAUUAAUCUAUGAACAAUUUGUCUUCUGGAAAUAGCAGGUGUUGUGAUGCCUCUUUCUCUUCACUGAAUAUGAAAAAAAAUAGCGACAAAGCAUUAUGUUUAGAGCCUCAUAAAUUGGAAUGUGACUUCAGAUUAUGAAGAAAAUUUGUUUAAAAUCACAAAUUUCAACACCAGGAUUGAAAUGAAGAAGGUAAACAAUUUUCCUACAGACUUUGGGAAUGGAGCAGAUGUCCAAAUGGUUUGCCAGUUCAGUGAGGAGGUCGAUUUUCCUAAGUUUGAAGUUGCAGCUAUAAGUUUUGUCUAACCUUCCUGGCACAAAUUUGUCACAACUUUUCCUCUGUGAUGAGAAAAUAAUGCUUUCCUUGGUUCUCUAGUAACUGUAACACCUGUGAUGUCUUUGUGACCUGCUCUUUCUGCCUUUGUGAAGUCUUUGCUGUUAAUGAUAACUUGUCAGCUCCUUGAUUUUGUGUCCACAGUCUGUAUACACCUGUCAUGUGCUGGAGGCAGUGAAGAGCUCAGGAAUUUAACCAAGUGGGACUUUUUCUACAUUUUCUAUCCCUUCUCUGUCCUGCCAUAGUUAGUACUUGUGCUCUUAAUGAUGCUUCUUUAAUUAAGUACCUACUUUUCUCUUUUUCCCCCCCAAUGUUUUAAUGCACUAGUUUUCUCAGUUUAUUGAUUUUUGUGUUUGCUAAGUAUUUUAUUAUCUAGUUUUAUUUCUUUCUCUUUUUGGUAUAAAGUACAAUUUUAUUCUUUAUUCUUUUGUUGCCUUUUUUAUGUGUGUAACAAGGGGUUUCAAAUAGUGACUUGUUUUGGAAUUCUUUAGUGCUUUUCACUAACUUCUCCACAGAGACAUACUUACUCCAGGUCUCCUUAAUUUUUUCCCCCCAAUGCAUAAUAGGAAAUUAAUCACUCUUGAUGAUAAACAUCUUCUGUUCUUAUAAUUCUGUGAAUCUAAGCUCACUUACCAAAUCCAAAUGCAUAACAUGUAGCAUUUUAUUUGUUCUUGGCUGACAUGUGUCUAACAGAAUCAUAUAAUUGUUAAGGUUGGAAAUAACUUCUGAGAUCAUCAAGUCCAACCAUUAACCCAGCACCACUGUGGCCACAACUAAACUGUGCUCCUCUGUGACCCAUUUACAUGUUUUUGAACACAUCCAGGGAUGAUGAUUUCACCACUUCCUUGGGCACCUGUUACAAUGCCUGACCAGCUUCUCAGUGAAGAAACUUUUCUGAAUAUUUAAUACACUUUGCAGCACCCAUGAGGAAGAGCAGUGAUAAAAAUGUGAGUGGAACAGCCCUGCAGACACCAAGGUCUGUGGAGAAGGAGGACAGGAGGUGCUCCUGGUACAAAAGCUGGUAUUCCCCUGCAGCCCAUGGUGAGACAGCUGUGCCCCUGCAGCCCAUGGGAGAAGCAGAUUUCCACCUGCAGCUCAUGGAGAUCCCAUCCUGGAGUACACUUCUGGCAGGAGCUGGGACCCUGGAGAGGGAUCCGUGCAGGAAUGGGUUUUCUGGCAGAAAUCACACUGGAGCAGUCUGUUUCUGAAGGACUGCAUCCCAUGGAAAGGACCCACACUGGAGCAGCUGUGAAGAACUCUAUCCCAUGAAAGAAUCUGAAUUUCUGAUACACAAAUGGAAAUGCCAUCCUGACAGUGACUGUAAAGUGCAUCUCCGACUAAUGGAAUUUUUUUUUUCCUCUCCUGAUGGUCCAGAAUGGCCAGAAGAGAAAAGACCAUGGGAAACCACAGAUAUCUGACCCUUUGAAAACCUCGCUCAGCUUCUUACAGUCAAGGAUUGAGGACUUUUGUGAGGUGGAGGUUGCAUUUGAAUCAUCUCUUAACAGCCACUGAUAAGCCCGCCCUUCAUAAUUAUUUCAAUGUCUUUUAACCUUUUUUAUGUUUUUAAUCUAUAAGAUCCAGCAAUGAGUUCCACAAAUUUAAUUAUGUUCUGUGAAAAAAAUAUUUUUGCUGGUGGUUGAAACCCACUUCUUGGUAGUUAAAUGCUGAGAGGAGGAGGCAUUGCUGUGGUGAGGCUGAAGAAAACAACUAACAAGUAGCAAAAGAAACAGUAGUGGCAAAGAAGAGGAGGAAAGCACCUCACUCCAAAAGAGAGGCAAGAGUCAGGAAGAAGAACAGCAGGGAAAGGACCUUAAAGAUUCCCACCUGCCCCCAAAGGGUACAUCCAGGAGUGUAAACAACCCUGGCUAAGGAAAAAUUGGUCGUGUUUUCAGUGGUGAAUGGGAGACUCAUGAACCACAUCCCUAAGGAAGGACUAGGAGAGGGUGUUGAGGCUGAAAAAGAUUCUGAAGGUCAUAGGAAGGAUCAACAGUGGAUUUUUCCCUGUUAAAAAGAACCAUCAAUGCCCAAAGAGAAUUAAAAAAAAUUGUGUGAAAGUGAUAUUCAACAAGGACUAUGUUUAGGUGAAAUUGGGUAAAAUACUUUGAAAAGAAGGACAGAAAAGUUCCUCCAGACCACUGCAGUCAGUGCAAGGAGUAUGGUUAGAAGCAAAAGCCAUCCAAAGAGGCAUCCCCCAUGUGAGGGUGGAUAUUGCUGAAGACAGAGCUUCCUG